rnacentral:sRNA from 1 species
ACUACCUUGCACAUUUCAAGGGAACUGGAAUCUGUGUGUAUGUCUCUAGCGACAUGCACGGUAACUUUUCAGGAUCAGACCCGAAAUGAGAGAUGGUCACAAAGUGCUGGUGCUGAACAGUCCAAAAUUAUGUGGCACAAUCUUGAAGUGAAGAAGUCUACCGCUUUGCUAUUGCUGGCUGGAACUGACAUCUUAGUCAUUGUGUACGGUAUAUCUGUGUACGAUAACUUUUCAGGAUCAGACCCGAAAUUAUAAAUGGUUACAAAGUGCUGGUGCUGAAUAGUCCAAAAAAAUGUGGCACAAUUUUGACGUAAAGAUUCGCUGGCCGCUUUGCUGUUGCUGGCUGGAGCAGACGUCUCAGUCAUUGUGUACGUCAUGACAGUUCACUGUCUGAUGGGAAAAUGUGAGAACAGACUGACGGUUGCAAGUAACGGCUUUUCUAUCUGCUGCGUGUGUGUCACGAACUGGCUGUCAGAAGGAGUUCCUCUUUAGUGGAAAGUUCAACGACGAGCUCAAUGAUCGGAGAAUUUUUUUGCAAGUGAAAAAGAAAAGCCAUAGAACGCAACACACACCAAACACUAUGGGACGCGUUUCGUAAUUUGGUUUAGAAACGCGAAAACGCCUUCAUGAUGCAAAUACCACAUUAACCACGCUCGACAACCCUGUCUAUUAGCUGUACUUUUCCCAAUGUAUGUGUUUUUUUUGUGUAAUUACAAAUUUUUUGUCUGCACAAUUUACACCACUCCCAAGGUAACCGCAUGAUUCUAUGCAUCUGUUGGUAGUUGUAUUAAUGGCUUCGAAUGCCAGACAACGGCAACUGCUCUCGCUGUUGCUCCGUAUUCCCCGUAUUCGAAUCGCGGCCGGUCUCUGUCGAACUUUUUAAUUUUUAAAUUUUUUGCCUGUUAGGGCAAAUAUCAUUCAAUUUUUCAAUUUCUGUUUUUUCUCUUUUGAGACGAGCUCAAUCGGAGAUCUUUUUCUUUACAAAUGGUAAAGAAAAGCCAGAGUUCGCAACACACGUCAACUUUAUUUCCCUCCUUCUCCUGUUCCUGCGGUAUCACAAUAGACGUCGGAGUAAUUCUGAUGGCUAAUCUAACUUAAGAAUAUGUAUACUUUGUAGAGCCGGAAAUGGUGUUUGGCAUUGUGCCGAUGGACCAAGAGAUCCAUUUAAUAUUUUUUUUUGACUAAGGAGUCCCAGGCACUUUAGCAGAAAUUCUAAUAUUGGAUUCCUAUCCCAUUGGAAAUACAUCUCAAUUGGGUUGCACUUUAUUCCUAUAUGUACUUUUCUGAGUUUUUUAGGAGGAUGGGCGGCUCCUUAGAAAGUCUUCCACAAAAUUUUGAUGGUAGAUGUUUACUGUCCGUCCAAGUAUUCCCAGCAAAUUUUUGUUUCCAAAGUUGUAAAACAAAGAUAGUUUUUGGGGAUUGCGAUGUACUCCUAAAUUGCCCCAAAUGUUCAUGAAAGCGUUUAAACUUUGCAAAUUCAAUGCUAUUCUACGUUUCUUCCAAAGAUGAAGGAAUAUAACAAACUUUGUCACUUUGAAAGUCUUUGUGAUCAAGGUAGAGGUUGCGUUUGUUGUGUAGGCCCUAGGACGAGCGCCAUUGACUACGAAGAAAAACGUUUCUGAUUUAGAUAAAGCUCUAAUAUGUAUGGUUCAUGUGAUAGCAUACUUAAUGGCUGCAGUAGCCGCUUUUAUGACUGCAGUAGCCCCAUCUUCUUCUUAUUCACAAAUAACAAAGAAAAGAUUUAGGAAAGCCAUUAGCAAUUUGAGUUCUGUCACGACCUCUAACACUCAUUCCAAGUAUGGUCCAAAUCGGUCUAUAACCUGAUAUAUAUCCCAUACAAACCGAUUUUCAGAUUUGGGCAUCAGGGGCAUCAGAAGGUCACAAUUCUUAUGGGAGCAGGCUGAAAUGAUGUAGGAUGUUGAGUUCUUGACUUUGAAUAAACAUGACAAGUAUCAUAUUCCAUUCGAUGACCUGAUAAAGCUUCCAUCUAAACCGACAUCUGUUAUGAUUUCCAUCAUCCAUGUCAAGUAUGACCUAAAUGGAUUCAUACCGCAAGAGAACUGGUCGAAGGCUGCUUAUGUUGAAAGGUAUUUAACUUUGUGCUACUGUACUUCUAUUGCUUACAAUAAUCUUAUUAUUAAAUGGAUUCAAACAAAUCUUUUAGUGGAUAUUAAACUUAAUACAAGAUUAAGCUUAAGAUUAAGAAAAUAUAUUUCCCUAAAACCAAGAUUAAUAUAACAACAUUUAU